AAAAAAAAAAAAAAAAAGAGAAGGCACACUAGUUGGACUAAGCAUAACUCUCUAGGAUCUCGGUUGUUACACCUAGAAAAUAAUAAAAAAAAAAUUCCCUGACAUUUCCAAAAACAAGACACUAAAUGCUGAGCUCUUCUUCACACUCCCUUUUGAAGUGAACUAUUAGUCCCAUAUGUAGGCUAUUCAAGGAGAUGAUUUUAAUGUUCUGUGAAGAGUGAAACGUAGGUAGUACUUUACAAACAAACACCCGAGAUUGUAUUACUUCUUGAGGA
rnacentral:misc_RNA from 1 species